UGACCGCUGGCGGCGUGCCUACUACAUGCAAGUCGAGCGAACAGACGAGGAGCUUGCUCCUCUGACGUUAGCGGCGGACGGGUGAGUAACACGUGGAUAACCUACCUAUAAGACUGGGAUAACUUCGGGAAACCGGAGCUAAUACCGGAUAAUAUAUUGAACCGCAUGGUUCACUAGUGAAAGACGGUUUUGCUGUCACUUAUAGAUGGAUCCGCGCCGCAUUAGCUAGUUGGUAAGGUAACGGCUUACCAAGGCAACGAUGCGUAUCCGACCUGAGAGGGUGAUCGGCCACACUGGAACUGAGACACGGUCCAGACUCCUACGGGAGGCAGCAGUAGGGAAUCUUCCGCAAUGGGCGAAAGCCUGACGGAGCAACGCCGCGUGAGUGAUGAAGGUCUUCGGAUCGUAAAACUCUGUUAUUAGGGAAGAACAAAUGUGUAAGUAACUAUGCACGUCUUGACGGUACCUAAUCAGAAAGCCACGGCUAACUACGUG
rnacentral:rRNA from 1 species